rnacentral:rRNA from 1 species
CGUGUAGGCGGCCGAUUAAGUCUGGAGUGAAAGUCCUGCUUUCAAGGUGGGAAUUGCUUUGGAGACUGGUUGGCUUGAGUGCGGAAGAGGCAAGUGGAAUUCCCAGUGUAGCGGUGAAAUGCGUAGAGAUUGGGAGGAACACCAGUGGCGAAGGCGACUUGCUGGGCCGUAACUGACGCUGAGGCGCGAAAGCGUGGGAGCGAACA